rnacentral:rRNA from 1 species
AUGCUCUUUUGUAUCCCUCGUCAAUCACUUAUGACGAGACAGUCAACCAGGUGGGUUACUAUGAGAUGCCCUAGUCGUUUAAAGAGUGCAGUGUCAUCCUCCCCACAUGAUUCUCAAGAAAUAACAAGGCUAAAUGAAGAUAGUCAACGUAGCUCUCUAGUUGAUCACCGCAAUUCCCCCACACCACCAUCGCAGGUGCUUGCUCUUACUUGGCAGUGUGAUAUGUGGUUGCAUGUUGCAUAUGGUGUCUACCUUAUAAUGCUUCUAAUUAGGGUAAAUUACAUCUGCUUAGUUAACACAUUAUACAUGUGA